CUGCGUAAGUUCCAGGAAUGGUGAAAUCAACACUGGUCAUGUGCCCAGGAGGAGAACCCUGAGAUCUCCAUGUGGAGGAGCCCAAACUGGCAUGCUGAAAGAUGAAAGGAGAAAGUAUGAAGUGUCCCUGCCAGCCAGCUCCUAACCAACAACCUGCCAACGGCCGGACAUGAUCUCACUCUGCAGUGGUGUGAGCAUGGCUCACUGCAGCUUCAACCUCCUGGGCUCAAGCAAUCCUCCCACCUCAGCCUCCUGAGUAGCUAAGACUACAGGUAAGUGCCACCAUGCUCAGCUAAUUUUUUAAUUUUUGUUGUUGUUGUUUCAGAGACAAGUUUUCACUAUGUUGCCCAGGCUGGUCUCUAACUCCUGGACUCAAGCAAUCCUCCCACCUCAGCCUCCCAAAGGGCUGGGAUUACAGGCAUGAGCCACCACACCUGGCCUGUAACUCAACUUUUGAUUCACCUGCCACUCUGACCAGUUCUAUGAAUCUGCUGAGUUCAUUCUGGGCCUCAUUCAAAAUAAUACUGACUCCUUGCCGCAUUGAAGUGUGGGGAGGACUAAUAAACCUUUCUUUCUUGUUCAAAAAGAAUCCUGGGAUCCUUGAAUGAGGUAGGAAAGACAGAGCAUUAUUGCUGACACAGAAGCACGUCAAUGGUUUCUGCAUUGAUAUGUAGCAACAGAGAAGCCUCUUUAGGAAAGGGAUGGGCUGGUUCCGCAGCCAGGGAUAGAAACUAGAGAAAGCAGUAGGUGGGUACAGGAAGUGCAGGGAGGCAUAUGAGUAUGUGAAUUUCAGACAUGUUCCUAUUUUUAGUGUUGGCUAGGCAGUAUCUGUAUUUUUGUCUGUUCAAACAGCAUACCUUCUCAGGAAGGAGGAUAAAAACAUCGGUAUAUAUAGG
rnacentral:lncRNA from 1 species